rnacentral:rRNA from 1 species
UACGAAGGGGGGCGAGCGUUGUUCGGAUUUACUGGGCGUAAAGGGCGCGUAGGCGGCCCUCCUAGUCGCGUGUGAAAUCCCCGGGCUCAACCUGGGAACUGCGUUUGUGACUGUAUGACUAGAGUACGGUAGAGAGGGGUGGAAUUCCUGGUGUAGCAGUGAAAUGCGUAGAUAUCAGGAGGAACAUCGAUGGCGAAGGCAGCCCCUUGGACCUGUACUGACGCUCAUGCACGAAAGCGUGGGGAGCAAACAGG